AACGCUAGCUACAGGCUUAACACAUGCAAGUCGAGGGGCAGCAUGAACUUAGCUUGCUAAGUUUGAUGGCGACCGGCGCACGGGUGAGUAACGCGUAUCCAACCUUCCCUUUACCCGGGGAUAGCCUUUCGAAAGAAAGAUUAAUACCCGAUGGUUUCGGGGUUCCGCAUGAGACCUUGAAUAAAGAUUUAUCAGUAAAGGAUGGGGAUGCGUUCCAUUAGGUAGUAGGCGGGGUAACGGCCCACCUAGCCGACGAUGGAUAGGGGUUCUGAGAGGAAGGUCCCCCACAUUGGAACUGAGACACGGUCCAAACUCCUACGGGAGGCAGCAGUGAGGAAUAUUGGUCAAUGGACGAGAGUCUGAACCAGCCAAGUAGCGUGAAGGAUGACUGCCCUAUGGGUUGUAAACUUCUUUUAUAUGGGAAUAAAAAAGUCCACGUGUGGAUUCUUGUAUGUACCAUAUGAAUAAGCAUCGGCUAAUUCGUGCCAGCAGCCGCGGUAAUACGGAAGAUGCGAGCGUUAUCCGGAUUUAUUGGGUUUAAAGGGAGCGUAGGCCGGCGGUUAAGUCAGCGGUCAAAUUGGGUGGCUCAACCAUCCCCCGCCGUUGAUACUGGCCGCCUUGAGUGUAUUCAAGGCAGAUGGAAUUCGUGGUGUAGCGGUGAAAUGCUUAGAUAUCACGAAGAACUCCGAUUG
rnacentral:rRNA from 1 species